rnacentral:rRNA from 1 species
GACGAACGCUGGCGGCGUGCUUAACACAUGCCAGUCGUACGGUAAGGCCCUUUCGGGGGUACACGAGUGGUGAACGGGUGAGUAACACGUGAGUAACCUGCCCACAACUUUGGGAUAACGCUAGGAAACUGGUGCUAAUACUGGAUAUGUGCUCCUGCUGCAUGGUGGGGGUUGGAAAGCUCCGGCGGUUGUGGAUGGACUCGCGGCCUAUCAGCUUGUUGGUGGGGUAGUGGCCUACCAAGGCGGCGACGGGUAGCCGGCCUGAGAGGGUGACCGGCCACAUUGGGACUGAGAUACGGCCCAGACUCCUACGGGAGGCAGCAGUGGGGAAUAUUGCACAAGGGGCGCAAGCCUGAUGCAGCAACGCCGCGUGCGGGAGGACGGCCUUCGGGUUGUAAACCGCUUUCAGCAGGGACGAAGCUUUUUGUGACGGUACCUGCAGAAGAAGCACCGGCUAACUACGUG